rnacentral:rRNA from 1 species
AGAGUUUGAUCAUGGCUCAGAUUGAACGCUGGCGGCAUGCCUUACACAUGCAAGUCGAACGGCAGCGCGGGAGCAAUCCUGGCGGCGAGUGGCGAACGGGUGAGUAAUAUAUCGGAACGUGCCCUGUAGCGGGGGAUAACCUAUCGAAAGAUGGACUAAUACCGCAUACGCUCUACGGAGGAAAGCGGGGGUCGCAAGACCUCGCACUAUAGGAGCGGCCGAUAUCGGAUUAGCUAGUUGGCGGGGUAAAAGCCCACCAAGGCGACGAUCCGUAGCUGGUCUGAGAGGAUGAUCAGCCACACUGGAACUGAGACACGGUCCAGACUCCUACGGGAGGCAGCAGUGGGGAAUUUUGGACAAUGGGCGCAAGCCUGAUCCAGCCAUGCCGCGUGAGUGAAGAAGGCCUUCGGGUUGUAAAGCUCUUUCGGCAGGAACGAAAUGGUUCGUGCUAAUACCACGGACUGAUGACGGUACCUGAAGAAGAAGCACCGGCUAACUACGUGCCAGCAGCCGCGGUAAUACGUAGGGUGCAGGCGUUAAUCGGAAUUACUGGGCGUAAAGCGUGCGCAGGCGGUUUCUUAAGUCAGAUGUGAAAGCCCCGGGCUUAACCUGGGAACUGCGUUUGAAACUGGGAGACUUGAGUGUGGCAGAGGGGGGUGGAAUUCCACGUAGCAGUGAAAUGCGUAGAUAUGUGGAGGAACACCGAUGGCGAAGGCAGCCCCCUGGGUUAACACUGACGCUCAUGCACGAAAGCGUGGGGAGCAAACAGGAUUAGAUACCCUAGUAGUCC